rnacentral:rRNA from 1 species
UACGGAGGGUGCAAGCGUUAUCCGGAUUCACUGGGUUUAAAGGGUGCGUAGGCGGGUUGGUAAGUCCGUGGUGAAAUCUCCGAGCUUAACUCGGAAACUGCCGUGGAUACUAUCAAUCUUGAAUAUCGUGGAGGUAAGCGGAAUAUGUCAUGUAGCGGUGAAAUGCUUAGAUAUGACAUAGAACACCAAUUGCGUAGGCGGCUUACUACACGAUCAUUGACGCUGAGGCACGAAAGCGUGGGGAGCAAACAGG